CGGGGUGUGGCGCAGUUGGCUAGCGCGCUACGUUCGGGACGUAGAGGUCGUGUGUUCGAGUCACAUCACCCCGA
rnacentral:tRNA from 1 species